UUCUACAACUAACUACAAAUUGGUUAAAAAGUCAUCUGAAUAUCAACCAGUUGUGGUUUCUUAACUGGUUGAUCUUCAGAUGACAUUUGUACCAAUUUGUAGUUAGUUGUGGAAUAAUGCAUUUAUAAAAGCGAUUUCCUCAAACGGUUGAGAAAAGUCCCGUCAAAAAAAAAAUAAUAAUUAUAAAUAAAUAAAUAAAAAAUUUGUUAACAUAUUUUUUAACUGACUAAAAAUCGACUAAGUGGUUUACAGUUAGUUUAAAAGUAACUAGUUUAUAUUUAGCUUCACAGUAAUGCAGGAAUGGACAAUUGUCCACUGCCUAGCUCAUCCCAAUUUAUUUCCCCGAAGGGAAGGUACAGAUCUCCAAAAUCGCUGCUCAUUGGCUGCGUCUACUGUACCGCAAAGGGAAAUGCAAAGCAAAUGCUCAUUAGCUGCGUCUACUGUACCGCAAAGAGAAAUGUAGAUCAAAUGUCAGAUGAUCAAGCAGCUUAGUUAUGUAUAACAGACUUUCAGUCUAAUAUUUACAGCAACUACUCAUAUGCGAGUUCUACUAGUUCCGCUCGGGGAGAUGUAGAUAAGAUGCCGUAGAAUGAGUUUGGAGAAUUAAAAACAAAACAUUUAACGAAUACUCAUUGAAUAAAAAUAAAAUUGCAUAUGUAGAAUAGAGAUCUUUAUUGUAUUCAACGGAUUACUUAAUUAAAUAGUAUUAAAUAAACUGAUAUAAAUAACAAAAAAUAACAUCAUCUCGCAAACGAUAAUUUUAAAGGUUGGAAAUUACGAGUUCUACGAAAUGGAACAUUAUGGUUUAUUUCACCUAUAAGAAAUGAAGAAUCAAUGAGAUCGCGUAAUAAUUUAAUGAUAAACAGUGCUCUUAACAUAAAAAGUCUUCUUUGAAGUAAUGGAAGGUCAAUUAACAAUAACCUACUCCCAUAAAGUGGAAGAGGUUCGGAAACGUUCCAGUUUAAACAAUGUAAAGCGAAAAUAAAAUCUGAUUUUAUUUUAUUAGAGUAAAAUAUAUAAAAUGGGCUCCACAGUAUACAGCCAUAUUCCAAUACUGGACGCACCAAGCUAACAAAUAAUCAUUUAGUUACAUAAAGAUCAUCAAACUCUUUAGACCAGCGCUUGAUGAUACCUAGUAACGAUUUUGCUUAAUUUACGCAAGACUAAAUAUGCAAGUGAAACCGAAGCUUAGGAUCUAAUAGUUAGAUAAUAAAGGUUGGAUCGAAAGAAACACAACUUUCAAUAUCUUCGAAACAAAGCUAUAAUGGUUAGAUACAUAUUACUGGAUCUUAAUUUCAUGAUUUGCAACACUAAUAUCUUCUAAACUACAAGAGAUAUCAAUACAUAUGGCACCAAUUUGGAAAGGUCACAAUGUAGGCUACAAUGCAGUUCUUAAUACCCCAUAAUGGGUACAUUUUCGAUUUUUUCAAAAAUACCAAUUUUCUUGUAUUACUCCGGGGUUUUGAGUUUAAAGGCUAUGCACAGAUACCCAGGUUUUUUAAACAAUUAAGGGUUCGAAAUACAACAUCCACUUUUAAUAGGGUUCUAAAAUGGGUAUCAUUUGAAAGUUUAUGGGAAUACCUAUCUGGCAAGUGGUCAUAGGAUACUCCGUUUCCGGUAUAAUGCAAGAAAAUUUGUAUUUUUAUACCAGUACUUUUUGCAAAAUCCCUAAAAACUCGAAAAUGGUGCCAUAUGUGCUGAUAUCUCUUAUAGUUCCAAAGAUAAAUUGAGAUUUUCUCCACUAAUAUGUAUCUAACCUUGUUUUAAGUAGCCGGACUUCGGCCGUUUUCGGCAAUAUUGGAGUUUUUAGAGAUUAGAUAGGUAUUUUCAUAAGCUUUCAUUGGAUAUCCAUUUUUUACAUUUCAGUUUUGUAAAACCGAAUUUGCGAGUCGAAUAACCGGGUAAGCGAAUAUUUCCCCACCAAAGAAAUAAUUUGCCGUAAUCAGUUUAUAAAGACCUAUACGUUUUAUUUUUGUCCCCCUCCACCGUGCACAGUAUUUUUCAUCUCCAUAGUAAACAUCUCCGACCGUGUAAGGUACAUAUAUUCUCGAUCACAAAAAAAUUAAGUUUUAUCGAUAUCCGCCCUUCAGUUGUAAUCACUCUCCUGAGGAAAAUGAGCUAGAAGCUAAAAUUGUGUGCACAUAGCCACAUUUUCAACGCAAUUUUAAUGUUUUAUUAAUUUUUGCUGUAGCUACAAACCACUGGCAAAUAAUUGUCUACAUAGGUUUAUGUUUUCCUGCGUCCUUUAUAUAACGGUACUCCGACAUUUGAUGCAUUAAUUGCUCUUUUCAACGGAAUCGACAAAUUAAACCUCAUUGUAGAUUCACCAUUUUAGUAUUCUCGUAGAUGGAAAAGAGUUUCAACAUAAGAUGUUUCGGAUUACAGAAAUUCAGGGUGAGAGAAUAACGCAGGAAAAUAAAACUGACUGAAUUUUAAAACUGUAUAACGUCUAGUUACCAAAGCAUAGUCAAUUAGAGAGCCGGUAUUAUGGCGAAGAUCUAGGGUAUGAAGAAGAUCCAGGGUGCGCCGCAUAAGAAAGUGACGAAUGUUCAUACAAUUCUAAGAUAUGAAUACGGCCAGGUAUAUGUUCAAAUCUUGCAACAAUGUCGGCAAUACUAUGUUCAAAAGGUGAUAAAUUUUGUGUUUAAUUACAUACUAUUGUCCAUAAUAAUAAAUAUUUUUAAUUGUAAUACUAAUUUGAGUAGACAACUCGCGAAUUUUUUUUUUCAUGUAAGGCGUCAAAAAUUAACUUUCGUAGGGACCUUCCAUACAUUUUUAAAAUUUGUCUAUAGGAGUUCCUAAUAACAAAAAUAGCAUUAGACAUAGCGUUAGAUUUUUUUGUGUAACCUCCUUUAUUAUGGUUUAUUUGAUGUAUAUAUAAUGGAAUUAGCAAUUUAAAUUCACUGGGUUUACUAAAUCCAAUGAACUAUAAACGUACUAUUAUAGACAUUUUUUCAAAAGUUUAGCUUUCCUAAUGGUGAAGGUAUUAAAAUUUAGCCCCUACCUAAUUUAACGGGUGUUUUUAUUAACAACCUGCUUAGCUUUAAAUUUUUGCAUUACCAAUGUAUUUUGGACAUACAGUGAGACACAAAAUGAAAACAACAAAUGUAUGAUUGUUAAUGGAAUUAUUUUUAAUAAAGUUGUACAUGAUUUCAGCAUAUAAUCCUUUUUAUUUAGAUUUAUAACUCAAUUAAGAACAGGGUUACAGUGGGUGCAGCUGCAUCCUGUGCAUCAUUGCACUAAAGUAAUUCAGUCCUCGCUAACAAGUCUAGAGAUUAGAGACAAGACUUUCGAUGAACGGAUUUGUUUCAAGAGAUGUCAAUUGGUUUGGUACAGUACAUUAGUACAGCUGCACCUCUUUUCAAUAAGUUAUUAAGUUUAAAUGUUUAUUAUUUAAAUGGUUUUACAUUAUUUUUAUUUAAGCAUAUAAAAUAUACAAUGAAAUUAAUAAAUAGGAAUGGAAUAAAUAAUAUUCUAUAAAUGUUUUUAUGAAUAAGAGAUGUUAAAAUAUAGGUAGGUAUACGUUAUAAAUUCUAUAACACAAUGAAAUCUAUAUUUUGUUCACGUCCUUUAUCUAAUAGAUAAUUAUAAGUAUAAUCGAAAAGUAUAAUUUGCUAUACUUUUAUGUUUAUAUGUUCAUGUGGUUUGUUUAAUAACCCUCGUCAGAAAUGUUGUAUAGAAUUUACAUUUGUUAUUUUUUUUUAGAUUUAUAAUUGUUAACUGCAUUAGAUAUAAAACCGAAAGGUGAAAGAAGUAUGCUGGUAAUUAUAAUUAAUUAAUAAUAUUUAAAGUUUUAUGUCUUACAAAAAAAUAUAUAUAUUAUAAAUUAAUUGAAAUUAAUUUCACGACUACAUUGAAAAAAGUUUGUUUGUUGUUAUGAUGAUUUUUAUUUCUCUUAUAUCCGUGAAAUUGUGCAUCAAAUCAACAUACUUCCAUGAUCCAAAUAACAAGCAACACCAAAACGCUUAUUUAACAAAAAAAAAAAAAAAAUAAAUAAAUAAAUAA